rnacentral:rRNA from 1 species
AACGAACGCUGGCGGCAGGCUUAACACAUGCAAGUCGAACGCCCCGCAAGGGGAGUGGCAGACGGGUGAGUAACGCGUGGGAAUCUACCUUUUGCUACGGGAUAGCUCCGGGAAACUGGAAUUAAUACCGUAUGUGCCCUUCGGGGGAAAGAUUUAUCGGCAAAGGAUGAGCCCGCGUUGGAUUAGCUAGUUGGUGGGGUAAAGGCCUACCAAGGCGACGAUCCAUAGCUGGUCUGAGAGGAUGAUCAGCCACAUUGGGACUGAGACACGGCCCAAACUCCUACGGGAGGCAGCAGUGGGGAAUAUUGGACAAUGGGCGCAAGCCUGAUCCAGCCAUGCCGCGUGAGUGAUGAAGGUCUUAGGAUUGUAAAGCUCUUUCACCGGGGACGAUAAUGACGGUACCCGGAGAAGAAGCCCCGGCUAACUUCGUGCCAGCCGCCGCCGUAA